GUAACGGCCCACCAAGGCGACGAUCAGUAGCCGGCCUGAGAGGGCGACCGGCCACAUUGGGACUGAGACACGGCCCAAACUCCUACGGGAGGCAGCAGUGGGGAAUAUUGCACAAUGGGGGAAACCCUGAUGCAGCGACGCCGCGUGAGUGAAGAAGUAUUUCGGUAUGUAAAGCUCUAUCAGCAGGGAAGAAGAAAGACGGUACCUGACUAAGAAGCCCCGGCUAACUACGUGCCAGCAGCCGCGGUAAUACGUAGGGGGCAAGCGUUAUCCGGAUUUACUGGGUGUAAAGGGAGCGUAGACGGCUGUGCAAGUCUGAAGUGAAAGCCCAGGGCUCAACCCUGGGACUGCUUUGGAAACUGUGGAGCUAGAGUGCUGGAGAGGUAAGUGGAAUUCCUAGUGUAGCGGUGAAAUGCGUAGAUAUUAGGAGGAACACCAGUGGCGAAGGCGGCUUACUGGACAGUAACUGACGUUGAGGCUCGAAAGCGUGGGGAGCAAACAGGAUUAGAUACCCUGGUAGUCCACGCGGUAAACGAUGAAUACUAGGUGUUGGAGAGCAAAGCUUUUCG
rnacentral:rRNA from 1 species